AUUUUUAAAGCUAGUUAUGGAAAAUACUUUCAUUGAUCUUACUGUCUGAUCAUGUGGUAUGGAAUUUUUCCUCUUGGCUAACAGAGGUAUUACCCUGAUACCUGAGUAGAGCAGCAAAGCAGUUCUUUUUCUUCUGUGUCCCAGACCAGAAUUAGUUAUUUUGCUUACUAUGAAAAAGCUGUUUCCCGGGCAGCUGCCAAAGAUGGCGGAGGUGCAGGUCCUGGUGCUUGAUGGUCGAGGCCAUCUCCUGGGCUGCCUGGUGGCCAUUGUGGCUAAGCAGGUACUGCUGGGCCAGAAGAUGGUGGUCGUGCGCUGGAGGGUAUCAACAUUUCUGGCAAUUUCUAUAUAAACAAGUUGAAGUACCUACCUUUCCUCUGCAAGAGGAUGAACACCAACCCUUCCCGAGGCCCCUACCAUUUCCAAGCCCCCACCACUUCCAGGCCCCCAGCCACGUCUUCUGGUGGACCGUAGCAGGCAUGCUUUCCCACCAGACCAAGCAAGGCCAGGCCACCCUGGACUGCCUCAAGGUGUUUGACCGCAUCCCACCGCCCUGCAACAAGAAAAAGCAGGUGGUGGUUCCCACUGCCCUCAAGGUCGUGCGUCCGAAGCCUACAAGAAAGUUUGCCUAUCUGGGGCGCCUGGCUCAUGAGGUUGGCUGGAAGUACCAGGCAGUGACAGCCACCCUGGAGGAGAAGAGGAAGGAGAAAGCCAAGGUCCACUAUGCGAAGAAGAAACAGCUCAUGAGGCUACGGAAACAGGCCGAGAAGAACGUGGAGAAGAAAACUGACAAAUAUGCAGAAGUCAGGACCCACGGACUCCUGGUCUGAGCCCAGUAAAGACUUAAUUCCUCAAAAACAAGACCUCGGACAGUGGUC